rnacentral:lncRNA from 1 species
CCGUGAUUGUUUUUGCAUAACAGACAUCUUUUUCCCUCUCAUGCUAUUUUGUUUCGAUAAGCAUAGUAUCAUAAUUUAUGGUCGCUUUCUAAACAUUAGCAACUGCAAUUUCGCUGACACUCUACUUGUUGCAGGCCGAGAACUCGUGCUUUUUCAGUAAAUUGGAAUACUUAAUACAAAUGCUUGAUGAACUCCAUCCAGCAGCAAUUUAAUUCGAUACUACACUAACGUACGGUGUAUUCUGAUAGCAAAAAAUAAGUAAUAAGUGUGUAAUGGUGAGAAUUAUUCGUAUUUCUCGGAAGCAAUUCACCAGAACUCUCAAAGGAUCCAGCAAUUCUUAGUUCUUCACUAUCAUUACGCUGAGUUUGACCGAUUAACUAGGUUACUUGCAAUCGCUUACGUCAUACUAUGGGAAAUACAUUUUUACAAAAAGCCUUAUAGUACCUGAACUUAUAACUUAUGAUCGAGCAAGUCAACUAUAGGAUUGUCUGAAGAAAGGCAUUUUAGAAAAACUAGCUAUGAAAAGAUGUCAUUUUGGAAGUGAGAAACUCAAUUCAAGAAACACAUCAAACAAAUCAUUUUCAGGUAAACGAGUGAGAAUAAACUUUUAAAAACCGACAUGUGCAAGGAAGCUUUGUCACCCAAGCGGAGAGCUGCGUUCACUAUCAAAGACGCUGUUAGUACACUUUAUUUCUUAAGUGAAUUCGAAAAGGGUACUAACACUUGCAUUUGAAGAAAUGAAUUAGCAAUAUACUGCAAAUUCAGAAAAUUGAUUCAUAAUUCGAAGAUUCUGCUGUCGCCAAAGGACAAUUCAGAGUUCUGGUUGUCGCUCCACACGAUUGAUGUAAUAAACAGGGCCAACUAGGAUUUUAGAAGAAGAAAUCGGCCAACCAUUCUUUGGUCUUUUCCUCGUUGACAUAUCAUCAGCAUUCCAGUUCAAUGGUGAAAUAUGCAAACUGGAAACCCGGUGAUAAGACCAUGGUCAAGGAUACUAACUACACCGAAGAACCUUCCAAUACAGUAAAUAAUGGAAAAAACCAAAUAAGAAAGUGAACGGAUAUUAUCAUUUCUUCCCAUUCUCAUUUUAUGACUAAUUUGAAGCAACAAGACUAUGCAAACAUCAUAGGGUCUUACAAAAUGUGCAUAUAGUAUUACUUAAUA